CCGGAGGAAGGUGGGGAUGACGUCAAGUCAUCAUGGCCCUUACGGCCAGGGCUACACACGUGCUACAAUGGUCGGUACAAAGGGUUGCCAAGCCGCGAGGUGGAGCUAAUCCCAUAAAACCGAUCGUAGUCCGGAUCGCAGUCUGCAACUCGACUGCGUGAAGUCGGAAUCGCUAGUAAUCGUGAAUCAGAAUGUCACGGUGAAUACGUUCCCGGGCCUUGUACACACCGCCCGUCACACCAUGGGAGUGGGUUGCUCCAGAAGUAGCUAGUCUAACCGCAAGGGGGACGGUUACCACGGAGUGAUUCAUGACUGGGGUGAAGUCGUAACA
rnacentral:rRNA from 1 species